rnacentral:tRNA from 1 species
GAGGGUUUAGCUCAGUGGCAGAGCGCAUGCUUAGCAUGCAUGAGGUCCUGGGUUCAAUCCCCAGUACCUCCA